GGACAAGUCACUAUCCCACUAACGGAUCAUCCUGCAUCUCGGGCCACACCUGGCCUCUUUCCUGCUGCAUCCAGGGUCUUCCGUAACCUCUGUGCUGCCGAAAGCGAUUUCUCCUAUAAUUUUACUCCAACUCUCAACAACGCUCUCCUCCGCCGCUUCAGGCCUCCCCCACCACUCCUCUGAGCCGAACCAUCGGGACCUUCAGCCGUUUGAUCUCCAGCCUGUCCUGACCGUCCUGCUUCUCUGUGCCCCCAUGGCCAGCACCCAACUCGCCUGGGUCUGCGUGUCCUCCUCAAGCCUUUCUCCACAAUCAGAUGGACUCCCAAAAGCUGUAAACCUGACCCAGCAAGACACUCCAACCCU